GGGAUAACUACUGGAAACGGUGGCUAAUACCGCAUAACGUCGCAAGACCAAAGAGGGGGACCUUCGGGCCUCUUGCCAUCAGAUGUGCCCAGAUGGGAUUAGCUUGUUGGUGAGGUAACGGCUCACCAAGGCGACGAUCCCUAGCUGGUCUGAGAGGAUGACCAGCCACACUGGAACUGAGACACGGUCCAGACUCCUACGGGAGGCAGCAGUGGGGAAUAUUGCACAAUGGGCGCAAGCCUGAUGCAGCCAUGCCGCGUGUAUGAAGAAGGCCUUCGGGUUGUAAAGUACUUUCAGCGGGGAGGAAGGUGUUGUGGUUAAUAACCGCAGCAAUUGACGUUACCCGCAGAAGAAGCACCGGCUAACUCCGUGCCAGCAGCCGCGGUAAUACGGAGGGUGCAAGCGUUAAUCGGAAUUACUGGGCGUAAAGCGCACGCAGGCGGUCUGUCAAGUCGGAUGUGAAAUCCCCGGGCUCAACCU
rnacentral:rRNA from 1 species